CUUUCUCUCUCACUCCCUCUCCCACUGUGUGAUAUACCAGCUCCCCUUUUCCUUCUACCAUGAUUGGAAGCUUCCAGAAGCCCUCGCCAGGAGCAGAUCCUGGUACCAUGUUUCCCAUAGAGCCUGCAGACCCGUCUGGGGACCCCAGAAAUGCUGCAUUUCUAAUAAGGAGGUGAGUGGUGCUGAUGCAGCUGGUUUGAGGACCCAUUUUGAAUGUCAGGUCUUGAAGGUUGGCAGCCAGGCUGCGUCUUUCUUGAACUGUGUGAGCAUGGAGCCAUCGACCUCAAGCCUACUCCCCACUUAGUCAACAGAAGGCUUGGUUUUCAACCUCUGCCCAAAGGGAACACCCCACCGAAUUCCUGUUUCCAGUCUGAGAAGUAGGUAUCUCUACUUUCAGCUCAUGUGCAGAACAAAGAUGUCUGGUGGAUUAAGCCCAAGGAACGGCUGGUCUUUCCCAGCCCCAGGUCAGCUCAGCCCCUUUCAGGUGAUUUGGGUGUCCUCUUCCCCUCCCUCCCACUAGAGGUGAACACUCAGAGUCUUAACUUGAAAUACUUUUAAUAGAAAAGCAUCUUCAUGGAUAUCAGAGGGUGGCUGUUCCCUCAAAGAGAGUGGCAGGGAAGGAUGCUGUAAAUGAAAACAGAACCAGUGGGUGAACGAACACUGAAGUGUGUGGACCAUAGGAAGGCAUUGCUGGUUCUUUACCAGGAAGCUAUUUCGAUGAAAUAAUGGAGUUGUAGCAAAAUAGCUCAGUGAUGGUAUCCAGCAUGCAUUAGAUAAGAAACUAGAGGCAAGGAGACAAAUGAGGGCAAUAGUGCAAUAAUUCAAGUUUAGUGAAAUCAUAGUGUUGGUCUUGAAAUAGGAACAAAGAAUGAAGCCAAAGAAGAAGUAGAAAGACUUGGAGGGGAUGAGGGAGUGUGUAAUACAGAAGAACAGCAAUCAGUGAUGACUUCUGAAGGCAUUUGGUGUGAUUUUGUGUGGGUAGAGGGAUUGCUGUUAUCUGCCUGCAGUAAUUGAG
rnacentral:lncRNA from 1 species